ensembl:lncRNA
GACGGCGUCGAAAGUGUUUUAUUAUGUUUUACUCUCUGUCUGUCUCUCUCUCUAUAUAAAUACAUACACACUAAGCAAUAAAAAAUUAUAAAAUGUGUCCUCAUUCAAAUGUACCAUCUGUUCCUGUUUCCAUUGACACUCCGAACCAUGCAGGUUUUUUUUUUUUUAAUAAUCUUUUAAAGAUGUAUUAUGUAAAAUAGGAUGCUGCGCUAUGGCUAAAAUUAGCGCUUCCUUAAUUUUUGAAUUUCUGUACAGAGAGGUCACGCAGUGACGUAUUGACAUUCUACUGAUCCCCCGUCUUCACGUGAUGCGAAUUCGCAGGUCAGAGUUCACCAAACUUGAACUUUGGAACGCAGCGAAAUGCGAAAUUUUUCGCAUGAGCUUGCGUUUCCGGUCUGACGCAUUCGCAUACGUAUGAAUGGAAGUCAAUGGAACGAAAAGUGCAGUGUGACCGCCCCUUUACAUUUCGGAUUUGCCGCCUUCACGCCGUUCGCGCCCGUAUUUUGGCGCCGCUGCGGUGACCGGAAGAAGAAGCUGGCUGAGGCAUUCUGGGAUGCUGGCGGACCCAACAACACUUCUACCGUGAUGGCGACCAAUAUCGAGCAGAUUUUCAGGGAUUUUGUAAUGAAUAAGAUUAAAGAAAUCGAAGAUGAGACUCAAGAAAACAGUGUGACAGAUGAGCCACAGUCUGAGCCUGUGACGGAGACGAGAGAAGACGGACUGAAGGAGGAAACAAUGAGCGCACCAACAGAUAAAGCCACGCAUGCUGACCCCCGAGAUAGCCACGAUAAAGAGGACACCAGCACCAAACACAGGAAGAGUAAGAAGCACAAAAAACACAAAAGCAAAAAGAAGAAAAAGAAACACAGAGAAGGAAAAGACAGCAGCUCAGACACACAGUCCGACAAAGAGACUCAAGAAAGUGGAAAGAAAAAGAAAAGAAAGAAAAAGAAAAAAAGCAAAGAUGCAGACAAAGUCAAAAGGUCUGGCUCUCGAUCCGAAAGCUCUUCGGCGUCUGCUUCCGAGUCCGAGUCCGAGUCGAAAGCACCGAGUGAAAAUACGAAGCCGUCUUCAGCAGCUCGGUCUUCGAAGCCCGAGCUCAAAGACUCGUGUGCUGUUGGGAAGCCUCGGGAGUUGCCUGACAUUAUUCCCAAGAUGGAGAAUUCGGUCCACGGGAGCACGGCACAUCAAAGGCCCGAGGAGAAGAAAAGAAGUUCUAGCAGGACAUCGAAAAGUAAGGAGGGCUCCAGAGGACGACGAUCCAGAUCUAGAUCACCCCGACGGAAGUCAGAACGCAGAUCGAGGUCCCCAAAACGACAACGCCGAUCCAAGUCUAGAAAUAGCUCCAAAAAGAGAUCUCACCAACGGAGAGAGAGAAGUAGAUCGAGGUCUAAGACUCGCUCCAGAUCUCAUUCUGUCAGGAGAGGCAAGCGCUCAAGAUCCAGGCGGACCAGAUCGAGGUCCGUCGUGAUCUUAAGGAGGAACAGAAGGUCUGCGUCGAAAUCUAGGUCUCGCUCGCCACGGCCUGGACGCCGUUCCCGGAGUAAGUCUCGAAGCAGGUCCGUUCCGAAGUCUGAUUUGAAACCGGAAACUGAGUUGGAGCCAGUGGACGAAAGUAAAAGUUCUGAAAUGCAAACAGAUGUGUCUCAAGACACAACUGAGAAUAGAGAAAGUCCGACAGUGGCUGUAAACUCUGAAACGCCGUCCAACAUCUCGAAUCCGGGCUUUAAAGGAUCCUGGCGACCGGUUCCCUUCUUGCCUGAGACCAAGUCUUCCCAAAAGUGCAUUACACCAGAGGUGCCUUCAGGAGUGACCGAUGUGUCCGAAGAACCUUCGACGUCCUCCACCACUGCGCCAGAAGAUUCCCAGAGUGCCGCCAACCCCGAGAAGAAAGAAACCAGCGCCAACCCAACUUUGACUUCAAGCGAGACAUCGGCGUCCAAAUCUCCCAGUCACAGAAUAUCCAGAGCGGCCGCGCGGUCCAGAUCAAAGUCGCCAGCGAAGAAGAGAAAAUCCAGGUCGCCUUCGCGGAAGUCUCGCUCGCCCCCUGAGAGGAAAUCGCACAAGUCCGGGACGAGAAGCAAGCGCUCGAAGUCGAGGUCGCCUAAGAAGAAGAAGAAGUCGAGAUCUCGCUCGCGCGGCCGUCGGAGGAAGUCUCGGACCCCGGACAGAAGCAGACGGUCGAAGUCGAGGAAGAGGUCGCGCUCGCGUUCGAAGAGGAGAUCCCGAUCCGGCUCGCGCUGGAGGAGAGGUUUCGGAAGCCGGGCGCUGAACCAGCGGGACCGAUGGAAACGGGAACCCAGUCGAUCUCCGGUCCUCAUCCUCCGGAAGAAAAGAUCAGCAUCCGGGACUCGACGCAGCACCAGCAAGACGCCGCCACGUCUUACAGAACUUGAUAAGGAGCAGUUGCUGGAAAUAGCGAAGGCUAAUGCUGCGGCUAUGUGUGCCAAGGCCGGCGUGCCGAUCCCAGAGAGUCUCAGGCCCAGAUCUGUUCUUCAGAUGCCCUUGCAAACCCCAAAUCCCACAUCCUUGUCUUUACAGUUGCCAGUGAUGUCAAGCAUGACGAUGAACGCUGCUAUGGCUAGUAUGACCGCCGCCACCAUGACCGCUGCUUUGUCCAGCAUGGGUGCUCUGGCUUCCUUGCCACAGCUGGCCCCGUUACCGACAAUCGUCAACAAGCCGCCGUCCUCCGCCACACCCAACCUCGCCAGUAUCGAAGAAGCCAAAAAGAAAGUCACCAAGCAGGCGAACAGCUUCAGCAUUAAAGAGCUGACCGAGAGAUGCAAGAAGAUCGCCGAGAGCAAGGAAGAGAUGGCCAUCGCUAAACCACACGUGUCAGACGAUGAGGACGAUGAAAGGCUAGUCGGAGCUUCCCUCAAGGAGAAUAAAGGCAUCGCGUUCAGUCUCGGUGUAAGUCUCGACGUUUUGCUUCAAAACUGUUACUGUCCUUCAUACUCGAGUUUAGGGGUUAGCUUUAAUCCUGUUACAUCUUGGCAUAAGCUGUUUAUGUUAUAAACAUGAAUUUUGCAUUGAAUUAUGCAGCUUGAUAGUUUAACCCUAUUAUAUCUGUUUUUUAUACUGCAAAUUAUAUGUGCUGUGAUGCCUAAAUUAACUUGUAGCAUUUUUAAAAAAAUCAGUUUCACCAAAAAUUUACAAAAAAAAAAAAACCACACAAAAAAUUGCAUUUGCAUUUUGUUUCUUUUAUCUUUUAUUUAGACAAAAUAGUAUAGAAUUUUAAUAUAUUUCUGUAGACAGAAUUUUGUCAAAUUAUGAGAGCUUUUUUUUUUUUUUUUUUUUUUUUUUUUUUUUUAGGAUAUAGAAUUUGAAUGUUUCUGAUUAAACAUGAAUUUUAUCUCAGUUUUUUAAAAAUCUUUUUUCAUUGGUCGAUUUUGGA